CAAUGCAAUUUUACAGCGGGUACAUGAUCAAACGAAGUAAAACUUGAAACAUAAAAAGCAGGCUGACGAAGCUGCGCAUCCUGGCCAUUUCUGCAGUAUCGUGCCAUACGAAGAGUUUAAGCAGGGAUACUGCGUCUAAACACCUUGAUUCAAGCAUCUGCAGAUGCGACUGUGGGGCGGUCGAAGAUAAAAUGCACGUUGAGAGAGGUGAUCCAAUGGAUCACCAUCCACACUUGCAGCGCGCCAGAGAUCUUCCAUGCCAUAAAUACCAGGGGCUUUCACAGCUAUGAAGCGCAACCCAAUAAGCAGGACAUCCCUCGCGAAACGAUGUCUACGUAUGAUAUUGAGCCAAAAGAUGUUAACAUGUGCGCAUAACAAUAAGCUCAUUCAUACAAAGCCCGAAGCCCGAGAAUAAACAACAAGCAGGUAGAGCAAACACGUCCUUGGAAGGAGUAGCUGAGAGAGGUGAUCCAAUGGAACACCAUCCACACUGGCAGCGAAGCAGAGACCUUCAAUGCCAUAAAUACCAGGGGCUUUCGCAGCUAUGAAGUACAACCCAAUAAGCAGGACAUGUCUCGUAACACGAUGUCGACCUAUGAUGUUGAGCCAGUAAUGUUAGCACGUGCGCAUAGUAGAAAAAUUAUUCAUAAAGUUUCCGACAUUUAACCUACUUUAGCCAGUUCACAUGCUACGUUACGUUGAAACUUUUUGGAAAAAGUGGUCGGUUCGGAUGUGGUAACGGUACGUUACCGGUAAAGUGGACGAAAAGUCUAAAGUGACCAGGGGGGGGGGUCAAUUUCGUCAAACGCUGACCCCUCGUACCGUUACUUGAAAUGCGUCGCCAAUUUCGCGAGUUAUAACAAACGGCCAAGCCCAAUCGCUUAUAAAGACCACAUACUUGACAAAUUGUGCGCGCUUUGCACUCCGACUGAAUUUCUAGUCACACCGCUGCCUUAUAUUAUAAAAAUGAACAAGGACAACGCCGCUCGUGUUGCUCGACCGCUCACGACCGCUUACAUAGCCAAUAUGUAACCCACUGUAGUAUCAGGGCUGAAGCCACCCGCGAAACGGCAAGUCGGCCGCACUUCCGGCGGCAUGGGCCGCGCCGCGUCGGCCCACACGCUCAAUCUCUGCCACUGAGCAUUGAACAUAAGAUUAUCAAAAAUUUCAUCCAGCGCGACCGCUAGGGCAAACGCCAUCGCGGCUCGCGCGGAAUGCAGUGCCAUUGCAGUAGGCAGGGCUGCCAAUCACCCUUCAAAUAUAUAUUGCAAUUCUAAGGGGAUGUUCUGAAGUUUUGACAUGAAAUGGAGAUGGUUUUACACAGCUCGCGCCAACGAAUACAACGUCGUCGUAAUGUCCCGUGUGAACUGGGUGACUUUCUCAGGGCCACUUUUACCUAAAAGUUUUCGCAACGUAACGUAGCAUGUGAAUCCAGUAUUAACCUACUAAUAUUUUAUAAGGACGCAUACCACGCGACUGCCUCCCUCAAUGUCGUGCAGUUGGUUCCGGAGGAGGCGCGGACGCCAUCCAUACGUCUUCGUGUCUAGACCGUCCUCGUCAAUUUUUGCAGAUUGUUUUAUCGCAAUUUUACUGAUCAGCAGAUGCCUGUCAGAAGCAUGGCUGGAGCUCCUGGAGCAUAUGGCUUCCGUGAUCAGGAGCAUGAGCGCACACAUCACACGCGACAUCACUUAGUAUGACAUGGCAUAGCAACUUUCUAACCCAGUCUGAACGGUAGCUGGAGGGGCUGGGAUUUGAUAGUCCUCCUACAUAGCAGUAUACUAAUUGCCAAUCAUUGCGGUGCCCUAAUCUUAAUCCAAUACCAGUGUACUAAUCGUAAUCCUGGAUAUAGGUAUUUAUCCUAAUCCUGGGGCCGGGUCCCAAUCCUAAUCCUGGGGCCGGGUCGCAAUCCUAAUCCUGGGGCCGGGUCCCAAUCCUAAUCCUACACUCGGGUCCUCAUCCUAAACCUGGCCUCAACUUUGUAUCCUAAUCCUGCCCCUAUUUUCGAAUCCUAAUUCCUGCCUGACCGGUACCCGAACCCAAUCCCUAAUCUUUGCAUCCCUCUGAACAUGCCUAUAUCAACGCCAUCGCUUAACCGCAUUACUUACGAGGUUAUCUCUGACUUUUGGGCCCGUUUAACUGCUUUUGCGGCACGGGACUACUUGCCAAAACAUUGGGAACAUGAACCUCACAAUCACCCUUUCUUAUAUGUCAACGACGCAGACAUGGUUGUUUGCCGUUUACCGAUGUACAAUGACGAAGAUUGAGGGCGCACGUCGGAGCCUCUAUUUUCUGUUUAAGCGUACUAACUGAGGCCGUGUGUCCAGUGAAGUUAGUACGGCCUGGCCGAGUUCUUUUUGAAUAAGGCCCACAGUGUUGUGCGGGAGGCGCUCCUAUGGGCGUUGCACUCGACCCGUUCGGGGUCCACUG
rnacentral:lncRNA from 1 species